rnacentral:lncRNA from 1 species
AAAAUUGAAAACAAAAGAAAAGCUAAAUGCAAGGGAAAGCUGGGAAUAAAUUAAGAUGAUUCUUAGAAAGAGAGGUUGUGCUUGAAUGAUGAAAUCAUAAAUGUCUCUUUUAACUCAAGGAUUUUGCUGACUAGAAAAACUAAUUUCUUUCUUAGCCUAGCCACGUUACAAGCCAUGAAAAGACCUUGUGAUGAAAACUUACUUGUUAGUCUGUUUGAUUGUGGUUAAAAG